CCCGCCUCCUGUCAACCGGAGCGCGCUGGUCAGGUGGCCCCCAGCCCGCGGCCCGAGCUGGGCUCCUGCCUCCAGGUCUCUCUCCCAGGCUCUGGCAUCCUGUCUCAGGCAGCUCGCCUUUCCGAUUGUGCCGGAGACAUAGCCCCUAGCCGAGCUGUAGUGCGUCGGCAGAUGUGAGGAGGUAGUGGGUCCCAAUAAGCCCGCGCACGCCAUCAUACAACGCUGGGGCCCAGUGACCGACCCGGGUCUUUUGCUUCCCGGGUCCGCACCUCCUGAGCAUCUAGUGUAUAGAGGCUGGCCUCGUGCAGAGGAAAGCAGCAGGCUGAGAAGAGGCACGGGCCUGUUUCGCAGGAGUUUUUGCCUCCCUGGGCCAACGUGAACCUUACCGCGAGAUUCCCACCACCGCUGUGGAUGCUAGAGGUGGUUACCAUCCUAGGAUGGCUUGAUGCCAAAGGCCCAGGGCCAGUCGUUCAUGAAAGCCUCUAGCAAAUGCUUGUUUCCUUAAAUUUUUCUCUCUGUGAUGGCCGGUCUCGCUUGGUUGGUUCUUGGAUUCUUAUAUUCCCAGAAAGAACAUAAACCAGUAGUGAAUUCUUCAUAGAUUUUUGAUGAGAGGAAGAGGUUUCUCCCUCUUUUCAUCUUAAAGUAACAAACUACAAGAAGAAAUAUACCCGUGACCAUGGCUUCUCAAAUAAAGACCCAGAAACCAGGGUCAGUUAUUCAGCAAACAGCUAACCCCAACACUGGGGAAACCAAGUUGGCAGUUGCCAAAGACUGGUCAUGUUCUGGGUGGUCUCGGAAAGUUUGAAGACAUUAAUUCUUACUGCACAAAACAGUGUUAGAAUCAGUUCCACCAGGCAGCCCCAGGGGCCUUCCUAGAGAGAGGAGCCAGCAGGCAAGGCUGCCCAAGGAAGAGACAGGCAAGUGGCCAGUGGAAAACAUGUUUUUUCCCCCUAAUAGUUGGGCAUUUCUGUGGCUCUGAAAGUAAACUUGUUUGCUUCAUUUCAACAAUAGGGAGAGAAAUCCUGCUUUGAAAAUGUCACCCGGCAUAAAAAUACAUUUGCAACGGGGGGGGGGGAGGGGCAAUUAAGGCCCACCCAGAAAAAAUAUUCUUCUCCUGCAUAUUUUAAGUGUGGUGUUUCCCAGUGUGGGUUUGCCUCAUUCUAUAGAUGGCUAUCAAAAUUUAAAUGCAAUACAAUUGGGAUGUUUCAAUUUGAGUCAUAGUCUGUCUAUCCUAGGAAACUGACAAAAGAAUUCUAUAGAGUUGUUUUAUACAGCAAAUAAAUAAUCCCUCCUCUCCAUCUUCUUUCCUGUUUAGGUUGGGUGGGGUUAGUAUUAGAGGAUGAAUCUGAUUUGGCUUAAAAUCAAGUAUCACUAAAAUCAUCCUUCCAGAUCCAAAAUAGAGAUCUCAGGCGCCCAAUAUUCUACAGACCUUACUUCCUCCAGAGGUUGCCGGGCGGUUGUGCAGAUCUACCAAGAACCAGAUGCAGAAACAAGUUUCCCUCCUACUGCAGUUCUGCCACUUCUCCAAGACCGCAUUAAGGACUGCAGGUACUUUGACUGUCUUGCAUACUCCAGGAAAGGAGUAUCUGUACAGCCUUCUACUUCUAGAGACCAGAGAGUCAUGACAUCAAGAAGACUCCCAGCUCUCACGUAGCCAGCAGAGGCUUUAGAAACUGAUGAUCCUAGAUGGACAAGCAAAAAAUGAUUAAAAUUCGAUAAACUAGAAGGACCCAAAGAAACAGGGAAUUGUUGGGGCAAAAUGAGACUAUUUCUUAGAAGAAAACGCAGUGGAGAAGUGAAAGUGGCAUGCAUCUAAGCAACAAAAGAAAAGGAGCACCGUUCAGGUCAGAGUGCAAACAGAGGAACUCAAGCAUCAGUUUGGAUGGAUGGUUUAAAACAUUCAAGUAGAGCUGGGCAUCAUGGGCAGGCCUGUAAGCACAUCAAUCUGGUGGCAGAGGCAUCUCUGUGAGUUCAAGGCCAGCCUGGGCUAUAUAUUGAUUUCCAGGACAGCAAGGACUACAUAGAGAGACCUUGUCUCAAAAACAAACAAACAAAUGAAACAAAAUAAAAAGAAAAAAGUUUAAUCAUGAAGAAUUUAAGACUUAUUUGAAGUCUUCCAGUGAGACAAAUGGCAAGGCCUCCUGGGCAGAAUCUAAGGUCAUGUGACCAACUCAUCUUACUUGUAUUAGGUUUUCCCAGGAAAUCUGAUGGCUCUUUGUCUAUCAUCAAGUCUAGAGCCCCCUGUCCUUACUCUCUCAGGACUGAGGAUGGUCAUGAAAACCAUGGAUAGCAUCCUCAGAAAUGAUUUACCUAAGGGUGGAGCAGAAGAUUCUUCAUCCACAUCUGGGUGAGUGCUAGGCCCGCAUAGA